UACGUAGGGGGCGAGCGUUGUCCGGAAUUAUUGGGCGUAAAGAGCGUGUAGGCGGCCCCGUUAGUCCGCUGUGAAAGUCCAGGGCUCAACCCUGGAAUGCCGGUGGAUACUGUGGGGCUAGAGUCCGGAAGGGGCGAGUGGAAUUCCUGGUGUAGCGGUGAAAUGCGCAGAUAUCAGGAGGAACACCAAUGGCGAAGGCAGCUCGCUGGGACGUGACUGACGCUGAGACGCGAAAGCGUGGGGAGCAAACAGG
rnacentral:rRNA from 1 species